rnacentral:rRNA from 1 species
AUAAACGCUGGCGGCGCACAUAAGACAUGCAAGUUGCACGGACUUAAUCGAAAUAUUUAUAUUUUGAAGCGGUUAGUGGCGGACUGGUGAGUAACGCGUAAGGAACCUACCUAUUAGAGGGGAAUAACAGUGAGAAAUCAUUGCUAAUACCGCAUAUGCCAUAGAUAUCACAUGAUAACAGUGGGAAAGGAGCAAUCCGCUAAUAGAUGGCCUUGCGUCUGAUUAGAUAGUUGGUGGGGUAACGGCCUACCAAGUCGACGAUCAGUAGCCGGACUGAGAGGUUGAACGGCCACAUUGGGACUGAGAUACGGCCCAGACUCCUACGGGAGGCAGCAGUCGGGAAUAUUGCGCAAUGGAGGAAACUCUGACGCAGUGACGCCGCGUAUAGGAAGAAGGUUUUCGGAUUGUAAACUAUUGUCGUUAGGGAAGAGAAAGGACAGUACCUAAGGAGGAAGCUCCGGCUAACUACGUG